GACGAGCGAAUUUCAAUGGACUCAUCCUGUUGAGAGAAUGAUUCCAGAGACUGUUUUAUUGCCUUUUCAGCUCUAUAUUCUUUUGAGAGAAUACAGAUGAGCAACAGUUACCUCAAGUUUGAAAACACCUUUUCUUCUUGAGAGGUAGAGCUGUGGGUACACUAUCCCUCACAUCCUUAUUUGCUGCAACAAGUACAGUUUCUCCCUCAUUGACCUCUAGUCUAAUAAGUUCCUUAUUACUCCAUGGGGAAAGUUGGGAUGUGUUCUGAAUUUGGUUUUAUAGUCUGGGAUAAAGAUUGUUGGUUUUCAACCUUAUGACUAUCUAGGAAAGCCAAGAGGCUGACUAAGUUCCAAAGAACAGAAUGAGAUAUAAAUGCACUUUAGAAA
rnacentral:lncRNA from 1 species